CCCGCACCAACGCAUUAAGUAGUCCACCUGGGGAGUACGUUCGCCAGAAUGAACUCAAGGAAUUGACGGGGACCCGCACAAGCGGUGGAGCAUGUGGUUAAUUCGAAGCAACGCGAAGACCUUACCUGGUCUUGACAUCCCGGUGACCGGCAAGUAAUGUUGCCUUUCCUUCGGGACACCGGUGACAGGUGGUGCAUGGUUGUCGUCAGCUCGUGUCGUGAGAUGUUGGGUUAAGUCCCGCAACGAGCGCAACCCCUAUCUUCAGUAGCCAGCAUUUAAGGUGGGCACUCUGGAGAGACUGCCAGGGAUAACCUGGAGGAAGGUGGGGAUGACGUCAAAUCAUCAUGCCCCUUAUGACCAGGGCUACACACGUGCUACAAUGGCGUGAACAAAGGGUAGCGAACCUGUGAGGGGAAGCAAAUCUCAAAAAUAACGUCUCAGUUCGGAUUGUAGUCUGCAACUCGACUACAUGAAGCUGGAAUCGCUAGUAAUCGCGAGUCAGCAUGUCGCGGUGAAUACGUUCCCGGGUCUUGUACACACCGCCCGUCACACCAUGGGAGUCAGUAUCGCACGAAGUCAGUGACCCAACCGUAAGGAGGGAGUUGCCGAAGGUGGGACCGAUAACUGGGGUGAAGU
rnacentral:rRNA from 1 species